rnacentral:rRNA from 1 species
UACGGAGGGUGCAAACGUUGCUCGGAAUCAUUGGGCGUAAAGCGCACGUAGGCGGACUGUUAAGUCGGAUGUGAAAUUCCUCAGCUUAACUGAGGAAGUGCACUCGAAACUGGCAGUCUUGAGUAUGGAAGAGGGUCGCGGAAUUCCCGGUGUAGAGGUGAAAUUCGUAGAUAUCGGGAGGAACACCAGUGGCGAAGGCGGCGACCUGGGCCAAUACUGACGCUGAGGUGCGAAAGCGUGGGGAGCAAACAGG